UACAGAGGGUGCGAGCGUUAACCGGAAUCAUUGGGCGUAAAGCGUCUGUAGGCGGUGAGAAAAGUCGGGGGUAAAAGGCGUCGGCUCAACCGACGUUGUGUUUCCGAAACUUUCUCGCUUGAAGAGGGCAGAGGCAAGUGGAAUUCCGUGUGUAGGGGUAAAAUCCGUAGAUACAUGGAGGAACACCAAAAGCGAAGGCAGCUUGCUGGGCCUUUCUUGACGCUGAGAGACGAAAGCGUGGGGAGCAAACAGG
rnacentral:rRNA from 1 species